rnacentral:lncRNA from 1 species
UCCUGGUGUAGUUUUUGUACUACAAUUCUCUCUAGGUAGCAAAAUGCAUGAGACUGAUGGUUGUGAUGAUGGAGAGGCAGGUGGUGAAGAUCAUGAUGGCUGGAGAGGCAAAAUGAUGUAGUUUUGGUGAUCAUGAUGGCUGGAGAGGCAAAAUGUUGUAUUCAGAAAUGGCUAGAGAGGCAAAAUGAUGUAGUUUUGGUGCCAUUUUCUUAGUUUUGGUGAGAACUGUUGGUUGUGAUGUGAUCCUGAUUCAAACUGUUGUGU